CCUACGGGAGGCAGCAGUGGGGAAUUUUGGACAAUGGGCGCAAGCCUGAUCCAGCAAUGCCGCGUGCAGGAUGAAGGCCUUCGGGUUGUAAACUGCUUUUGUACGGAACGAAACGGCUCUUUCUAAUAAAGAGAGCUAAUGACGGUACCGUAAGAAUAAGCACCGGCUAACUACGUGCCAGCAGCCGCGGUAAUACGUAGGGUGCGAGCGUUAAUCGGAAUUACUGGGCGUAAAGCGUGCGCAGGCGGUUAUAUAAGACAGAUGUGAAAUCCCCGGGCUCAACCUGGGACCUGCAUUUGUGACUGUAUAGCUAGAGUACGGUAGAGGGGGAUGGAAUUCCGCGUGUAGCAGUGAAAUGCGUAGAUAUGCGGAGGAACACCGAUGGCGAAGGCAAUCCCCUGGACCUGUACUGACGCUCAUGCACGAAAGCGUGGGGAGCAAACAGGAUUAGAUACCCUGGUAGUCCACGCCCUAAACGAUGUCAACUGGUUGUUGGGUCUUCACUGACUCAGUAACGAAGCUAACGCGUGAAGUUGACCGCCUGGGGAGUACGGCCGCAAGGUUGAAACUAGAAAGUAGUGCGNGNGAGAGCGACGACGACGACGAGGAGGAGGAG
rnacentral:rRNA from 1 species